AUGAGUCUCCUCAGUUGGAACUGCCGGGGCUUGGGGCAACCCCGGACAGUUCAGGAACUAGUGUGCCUAGUGCACACAUACAAGCCCAAGCUUGUGUUCCUCUCUGAGAUGCGGCAAAGCAAUUCCUACGUCAAUAAGUUAAAGUGGAGGCUUGGCCUCAGGCAUUGUAUCACGCAACCCGACAUAGGAAAAGGUGCUGGUAUUGUGCUCUUCUAUGAUGAAAGUGUGGAA
rnacentral:rRNA from 1 species